UUCCACGUGGAACCGGUAUUACAUUGUUCUGUGCCUGCCUCCUCGAGCGGGCUUGAACGAAGGUGGGCCGCUUUAGUUGUGGUCUGCCGAUGUACUUUUCAAACCCAUUACCUAAAUACUGAUCUAUACUCCAAAAACGAAAGUCUUUGGUUUGAAUCCAUAACAACUUUCAGCAGUGGAUGUCUAGGCUCGCACAUCGAUGAAGAACGCUGCGAACUGCGAUACGUAAUGCGAAUUGCAGAAUUCAGUGAGUCAUCGAAAUUUUGAACGCAUAUUGCACUUUCGGGUUAUGCCUGGAAGUAUGCCUGUAUCAGUGUCCGUACAUCAAACUUGCCUCUCUUUCUCUGUGUAGUCAGGGCUUGAGACGGCAGAAUGUGAGGUGUCUCGCUGCCUCCCUCGAAAGAGGAGAGAACGCGAGUCCCUUUAAAUGUACGUUCGCUCUUUCUCGUGUCUCGGUAGAAGUGCGGCUCUCGAAACGCAGUGGUCUGUUUGGAUCGCUUUGCGCUGUCGGGCGACUUCGGUUAGGACAUUAAAGGAAGCAACCUCUAUUGGCGGUAUGUUAGGCUUCGGCCCGACGUUGCAGCUGACGGAGCGGGGUUUUCUGUUCUUUCCUUGAGGUGUACCUGGUUAGUGUGAGGCAAUGGUCUAGGCAAAUGGCUGUUGUGCGGUAGAUUGCAGCUGCUCCUUGACGCCCAACUCGUUGGGUAGGGAAGGCAACACCAAUUUGGGACUGCCGGUCUUCGGACUGGUCUUUCACUUUGGACCUGAUAUCAGGUAAGACUACCCGCUGAAACUUAAGCAUAUCAUA
rnacentral:rRNA from 1 species